CAAGCCUCAAGAAACAUUGGUGAGGCUGGUUUUCACGUCAGUUUUCUCUCUAUGCCUCCACUGAUCCAUCCAAGACGAGAGAGGUGAUGGUGAAAAUCAUUUUGAGGGGAAAAAGAGAAAAUAGAUUUCUACUGAUAUCGAGACGAAGGAAGAAGGCAUGCGCGUUUUUCACGUCCAUUCGAGUUUACAGGGAUUGAAUUCGAAAUUCCAGGGAGAUAAACGACAAGAAGCAAAGAAGCAAGGCAAGGAAGUGGCCAUGUGGAGAAAGUGAACAAGCGGAAUUGUGAUUUCAAUGCACAAAAUCAUUGCUCUUUCUUUUGGUGGCUGGGCGAGAGUGUUGGUGUUAGGAGUGUGAAGAAUCAAUUGGCAUUCCUGAGCGCAAUUUGGGAAUCUAUUUUGUCACAUCUUGACCUUUAGCUCUACGAUCCCAUUGGCUUCAGACAGUUCAUCUAUCACUAAAUCAUAAGCUCAGGUAUCCUAAACGCCUUUUCCAGCUCUGGAAAGGCUUAUCAAACGGCGCAGAGAGUCUUUGGAUACCAUAUAUCAGUGCCGAAUUCCAAAGCCCAUUCCCUGCAAUUUACCUGCAAUGAAGAUGAUGAUGAAGCGUUUUGAUUGAGUUGCUUUGCCUGCUCUCACAAGUGUGUGAGUGAUAUAAAACCUGGCCCUCGGUGAGCUAGCGAGCAGCUCUCCUAGGCUUUUUUACUGGGGCUACUACAGCCACCCAGCAAACCAACCAUCCAACCAACCAACCAACCAACUCAACCACGAUUUGACUCAAAACAAUACGGCUGUAAUUUGUGCUCUCAAAGAAUGUGGCGGUUACAACGUGGAUGUCUAGACAUCUAGAGGACUGCGCACAAUCAGGUUGACAACGAAGGAGUCCAAAAUAAUUCUAGAUAUCCCGAGGAAUGCGGCCUCCAAGAGCCUCGUCAUCCCCAAAUCUGGAAGGAGUGACCCCACAGUUUGAGUUGCUCAUGUCUGUUUUUGAUAACAAAUGGACAAAUAUUGAAUUCUGGAGUUCACCCUAAAAGUGGACGGACAGAGAGGGGGUCUGUGUGCAAUUGACCUCCUGCCGGGUGUCGAACUCGUGACCGUUUGACAAGUUCAGGUAAGCACUGCACGAGAUGAGCAGAAAAAAACGGUUUCUUCCAAUACAAAAGUGAAUUGAUUGGGCUUCAACCUGACUGACUAGAGUCGAGUUCUGUGAAUG